rnacentral:rRNA from 1 species
UACGUAGGGGGCAAGCGUUGUCCGGAAUCAUUGGGCGUAAAGCGCGUGUAGGCGGCUCGGUAAGUCUGCUGUGAAAGUCCAGGCUCAACCCUGGGAUGCCGGUGGAUACUGUCGAGCUCGAGUCCGGAAGAGGCGAGUGGAAUUCCUGGUGUAGCGGUGAAAUGCGCAGAUAUCAGGAGGAACACCGAUGGCGAAGGCAGCUCGCUGGGACGUGACUGACGCUGAGACGCGAAAGCGUGGGGAGCAAACAGG